GGGUGAGUAACGCGUAAGUAAUCUACCCUGAUAUCUGGGAUAACAAUUCCAAAGGAUUGCUAAUACCGGAUACGCUGAUUUAUCAGGAAAGGUGGCCUCUUCAUGAAAGCUACUGUAUCAGGAGGAGCUUGCGUACCAUUAGCUAGUUGGUGGGGUAAUGGCCUACCAAGGCGACGAUGGUUAGCGGGUCUGAGAGGAUGAUCCGCCACACUGGAACUGAAACACGGACCAGACUCCUACGGGAGGCAGCAGUGAGGAAUAUUGCGCAAUGGGGGAAACCCUGACGCAGCGACGCCGCGUGGAUGAUGAAGGCUUUCGGGUCGUAAAAUCCUGUCAGAUGGGAAGAAAUGCUAUGAGGCUAAUACCCUUGUAGUUUGACGGUACCAUCAAAGGAAGCACCGGCUAACUCCGUGCCAGCAGCCGCGGUAAUACGGAGGGUGCAAGCGUUGUUCGGAAUUACUGGGCGUAAAGCGCGCGUAGGCGGCCUUUUAAGUCAGAUGUGAAAGUCCACGGCUCAACCGUGGAAGUGCAUUUGAUACUGGGAGGCUUGAGUACUGGAGGGGAUGGUGGAAUUCCCGGUGUAGAGGUGAAAUUCGUAGAUAUCGGGAGGAAUACCGGUGGCGAAGGCGACCAUCUGGCCAGAUACUGACGCUGAGGUGCG
rnacentral:rRNA from 1 species